CGUGCGCAUGCGCCGAAUCCCGCGAGGGAACCGGGGACCCACCACACCUGGGGUGAAUCGGGCUGCAUUCCGGCCCGUAGGAGACCUUCCUGCUCCGAACCCGUCAGCUAACCCGGUAGGCGAGAAGGAAGGAAAGG
rnacentral:sRNA from 2 species